rfam:Mycoplasma columbinum SF7 contig5, whole genome shotgun sequence.
GUAAGUGGUUAUAGCAAGGGUGUCCACCUGAUCCCAUUCCGAACUCAGUAGUUAAGCCCCUUAGUGCCGACGAUAGCAGAGAUGUGAAAAUAGGGAGCUGCUUUUU